rnacentral:rRNA from 1 species
CCUACGGGAGGCAGCAGUGGAGAAUAUUGGGCAAUGGGCGCAAGCCUGACCCAGCAACGCCGCGUGAAGGAAGAAUGCUUUCGGGUUGUAAACUUCUUUUCUCAGGGACGAAGAAAGUGACGGUACCUGAGGAAUAAGCCACGGCUAACUACGUGCCACCAGCCGCGGUCAUACGUAGGUGGCAAGCGUUAUCCGUAUUUACUGGGUGUAAAGGUCGUGUAGGCGGGGAAGCAAGUCAGAUGUGAAAACCACGGGCUCAACCUGUGGCCUGCAUUUGAAACUGUUUGUCUUGAGUACUGGAGAGGCAGACGGAAUUCCUAGUGUAGCGGUGAAAUGCGUAGAUAUUAGGAGGAACACCAGUGGCGAAGGCGGUCUGCUGGACAGCAACUGACGCUGAGGCGCGAAAGCGUGGGGAGCAAACAGGAUUAGAUACCCCAGUAGUC